UACGUAGGUGGCAAGCGUUGUCCGGAUUUAUUGGGUUUAAAGGGUGCGUAGGCGGUCUAUUAAGUCAGUGCUGAAAUAUCCCGGCUUAACCGGGAGGGUGGCAUUGAUACUGAUGGACUUGAGUAGAGUCGAGGUAGGCGGAAUUGACGGUGUAGCGGUGAAAUGCUUAGAUAUCGAUCAAGAACACCGAUAGUGUAGACAGCUUACUAGGCUCAAACUGACGCUGAGGCACGAAAGUGUGGGGAUCAAACAGG
rnacentral:rRNA from 1 species